rnacentral:rRNA from 1 species
UACGUAGGCAGCGAGCGUUGUUCGGAGUUACUGGGCGUAAAGAGUGCGUAGGCGGUUUUCUAAGUUUGGUGUGAAAUCUCCCGGCUUAACUGGGAGGGUGCGCCGAAAACUGGAAGGCUUGAGUAUGGGAGAGGUAAGCGGAAUUCCUGGUGUAGCGGUGAAAUGCGUAGAUAUCAGGAAGAACACCCGUGGCGAAGGCGGCUCUCUGGUACGUGACUGACGCUGAGACGCGAAAGCGUGGGGAGCGAACAGG